UACGAAGGGGGCUAGCGUUGCUCGGAAUUACUGGGCGUAAAGGGCGCGUAGGCGGACAGUUUAGUCAGAGGUGAAAGCCCAGGGCUCAACCUUGGAAUUGCCUUUGAUACUGGCUGUCUUGAGUUCGGGAGAGGUGAGUGGAAUGCCGAGUGUAGGGGUGAAAUUCGUAGAUAUUCGGCGGAACACCAGUGGCGAAGGCGACUCACUGGCCCGAUACUGACGCUGAGGCGCGAAAGCGUGGGGAGCAAACAGG
rnacentral:rRNA from 1 species